rnacentral:rRNA from 1 species
UCGGGAAUUUUGUGCAAUGGGCGAAAGCCUGACACAGCAACGCCGCGUGAAGGAUGAAGUAUUUCGGUAUGUAAACUUCGAAAGAAUAGGAAGAAUAAAUGACGGUACUAUUUAUAAGGUCCGGCUAACUACGUGCCAGCAGCCGCGGUAAUACGUAGGGACCAAGCGUUGUUCGGAUUUACUGGGCGUAAAGGGCGCGUAGGCGGCAAUUCAAGUCAUCUGUGAAAUCUCCGGGCUUAACUCGGAACGGUCAGAUGAUACUGCUUUGCUAGAGUGCAGAAGGGGCAAUCGGAAUUCUUGGUGUAGCGGUGAAAUGCGUAGAUAUCAAGAGGAACACCUGAGGUGAAGACGGGUUGCUGGGCUGACACUGACGCUGAGGCGCGAAAGCCAGGGGAGCAAACGGGAUUAGAUACCCUAGUAGUCCCUGAGCGGGCUGGCAAGGCGCAU